UACGAAGGGGGCUAGCGUUGCUCGGAAUGACUGGGCGUAAAGGGCGCGUAGGUGGUUAGGUAAGUCCGAUGUGAAAUCUCCAGGCUCAACCUGGAAAUGGCAUUGGAUACUAUUUAGCUUGAGGAGUGGAGGGGGGACUGGAAUUCUCGGUGUAGCAGUGAAAUGCGUAGAUAUCGAGAGGAACACCAGUGGCGAAGGCGAGUCCCUGGACACUUCCUGACACUGAGGCACGAAAGCUAGGGGAGCAAACAGG
rnacentral:rRNA from 1 species